AUAAAGUUUUGUAGGCCAAAACAAAAUAAAAACCACAAAAAGGGGUCCAAUUACUAUUACUAUUUAGUUUUGUCCAAAUCCCAACAAAUUUAUAGAAAUUUACCAAAACAGGUUAACUGUUUUUGUUUUUGUUUUUGUUUUUGGAAGAACUGAAGAGAAAAGGCCUUACAAUCAUUGCUGAAACAGGAAAGACCAAACCGAUAAGCUUUCAACAUUCCCUGAUUACACGAAAGCGAUUCAAGGAAAGACAAUUUGAAACGACGGAUACCCAAAUCAAUUCAAUCAAAAUCAUCAACAUAGAACAAGAAGAAGAAGAAGAAGAAGAAGAAGAAGAAGAAGCAGGUUGUACUUGGGAGUAGAAGACGUGGUACGGUGGGAGAAAUGGAACAAUCAAAGAUAUGGUUGUUAGAAGGUAAGAAUAAUAUGACUUCUCGAUUGGCUGUUCUGUUUCCGCCCAUAAUGUGUUUGCGGUAAUGCCUGACUGAAUUUAACCCAAUUGUUUUAGCAGAAAGAGUACGAGAGUUGGAUAUGGUGGUUGGGGUUGAUAAUUUAAGUCAUUUUUAGCUUGCCCACUUAAGAAAAUAACCUCUCCCAAACUUGUAGAUUAAGCUAUAUGAUCGUUGGGACAUGUUCAAGCUUCAACUUCUAAGUUUCUGUAAUUCUACUUUUUCUCUUCUUUCAUGUUUUUUUUAAGUUCACUUUCUAGUUUAAUCCUCUGUCAUUGGAAUGUUCUGCAAAUCAUCUAAUCAAAUCCACAAAUUGGCAUCCAAUUCUCCCUCUUCUCCAUAAAUUUGCAGUGCCAAGCUGGUUAUGUGUUGAGAAUUUGAUUCUCUACCUCAUUAGGGAGGCUUGGUUUUAUCUAUUCGAGUUUUUGUUGGUUUAAUUCUGUUAUGUUAAUGGCUCUUAUAGAUAAGAUAGUUCAAAAUGAGUAGGAUAACUUUGAUUCAUUCUCUCCCAAAUAAUGGAGAACUCCUGAUGAUAUUGAGGCUUGAAUUGAGCAAUCCCUAAAGCUUUGUUUGGUUGUAUAAGGUCAUUAUCAGGUGCGAACUUCUAGAGAUUGGUAGGGCCAAACAAGUAAGAAAGAUGGAAGCUUGUUUUUCAUAUGAAAGAAAAGAAAAAGAAAAAGAAAGAAAAAAGGAAAAUGAUGUGAUAUAUUAUGCAGCAAUUAUCAAAGAAGCUUCAUAACUGGUAUGCCUUUGUUUUUUUCAAGCUUCGGCAUCCAUUCACUCUCUUUUCAGUGCCCCAAAUAUAGGAUCAUAUAGAAAAGUGGACAAUUUUAGUUACUAUAUUCUUAUCCUUGUGAUAUUAUUAUUUUUGACAUCAUAAUUGUCUUUGUACUCUUAUCCUUACAUGAAAUUAUUUGGCUUUAUAAUUUCUUUUA